rnacentral:rRNA from 1 species
UACGUAGGUGGCAAGCGUUGUCCGGAUUUACUGGGCGUAAAGAGCGCGCAGGCGGUCGUUCAAGUCGCGUGUGAAAGCCCCCGGCUCAACUGGGGAGGGUCACGCGAUACUGAUCGACUCGAAGGCAGGAGAGGGUAGUGGAAUUCCCGGUGUAGUGGUGAAAUUCGUAGAUAUUCGGAGGAACACCAGUGGCGAAGGCGGCUCACUGGCUCGAUACUGACGCUGAGGUGCGAAAGCGUGGGGAGCAAACAGG